UGUUUAUGUCAUCUUGAUUAAUCUUAUGCUAAUUUUCCAAAGUUUACUAAUUGUGCAAUACUAAUAAGUCAAUCUAAAAAAUAUUUUAACAGACACUUAUGAAAUGAGGAAAUUAAAAAAUUAUUAAUUUAAAUUUGUACACACAUAUUAUCUUACAGAUAAGUAAAAUAGGGUAAUCAAUAAAGAACCUUCAAAACAAAAGAUGUAUUACAGUAGGAUGAAAUUUUGUGGGGAAGUGUACUGAAGAUAAAAAUUCAAGGAGAAGAAGGAACAAUAC
rnacentral:lncRNA from 10 species